UACGUAGGGGGCAAGCGUUGUCCGGAAUCAUUGGGCGUAAAGCGCGUGUAGGCGGCCCGGUAAGUCCGCUGUGAAAGUCGGGGGCUCAACCCUCGAAAGCCGGUGGAUACUGUCGGGCUCGAGUACGGGAGAGGCGAGUGGAAUUCCUGGUGUAGCGGUGAAAUGCGCAGAUAUCAGGAGGAACACCGAUUGCGAAGGCAGACUCGCUGGAACGUUACUGACGCUGAGACGCGAAAGCGUGGGGAGCAAACAGG
rnacentral:rRNA from 1 species